GGGCUGCAGCCGGGCCCCCGCGCCGCUCCGGGAGCCGAUGGCAGCUGCACAGCGCGGCCGCCCGGCGGAGCGCGGCGCGGCUCGGCGCCCCCGGCGCGGGAUGCGCGGGCGGGCAGGCGGCGGUGGCGGCAGCGGCUGCGGCAGCUCCGGGAGCUGGAGGGACGGGGCCGGGCGGCCGGCGGCCGCCGCGCUCGCCUGACCUGCGUGCCCCGCUGGCCGCGCCGGGCUGCCCCGAAGGAUGUCCGCCCAGUCCAAGGGGACCGCAUCCUCCUCCUCCUCGCCGUCCGAGGGGCCGCCGGCAGCCUCCAAAGCCAAGGUGAAAGAGCAGAUCAAGAUCAUCGUGGAGGAUUUGGAAUUAGUCCUGGGGGACCUGAAAGAUGUCGCCAAGGAACUUAAGGAGGUGGUUGACCAGAUUGACACACUGACAUGUGAUCUGCAGCUGGAGGAAGAGAUGACAGACAGUUCCAAAACAGACACCCUGAACAGCAGCUCCAGCAGCACAACCGCCUCCAGCUUGGAGAAGGUCAAGGUUCGGGGCAGCGCGCCCCUCAUCAAGCCCCCUGCACACCCCUCUGCCAUCCUCACCGUGCUGCGCAAGCCGAACCCGCCGCCUCCUCCCCCUCGACUGACACCCGUCAAGUGUGAUGAGCCUCCCAGGCUGCCUCCCUUGGCCAACCCACUCAAGACCAAUGGCACCCUGCUGCGGAACGGGGGCCUGCCCGUCGGGCCCGGCCGCAUCCCGAAUGGAGAUGUGUGCUGCAUGCCCAACAGUAACUUGGAGAAAGGGGUGAUGCAGCCUCUGGUGCACAGAGCUGAGAAGGAGCGGUGUCCCCAGGCGGGGGCGAGGGAGCGCGUACGGUUCAGUGAGAAAGUGCAGUACCACGGCUACUGCCCCGACUGUGACGUUCGCUAUAACAUCAAAAACAGGGACGUGCACUUGCACAGCGAGCCGGCCCGGGUUGCAGGAAAGCUGCCACACCAGUGCCCUCCUCUGCCACCUCCUCCACCUCCAUUGCCUCCGUUUCUUCUGGAAAAUGGAGGGUUGGGGAUAAGUCCUAGUAAUAGCUUUCCUCCUCCGAGACCUGCAACUGUGCCUCCACAAACUGCGCCAAAACCCCAGAAGACCAUCUUGAGGAAAUCAACCACUACAACAGUGUGAAGUAUGCCCCUUGUAAUAACUCUUUGCUUUUUCCUAUAUAUAAACAUAAAUAGGUAAUGAGCACUUUCUACUUGAGCAAUAAAAAGACCCAAUGUAUUACACCCUGUGUCCCAUGAAGUGGCAUAAAAAUCACAUGGUAUUCUCGUCUUUAAACCAAAAUAAUAAGAAUAAUUGUAACAAAAGUCCCAUCAGAUGACUACUGUUUGUAAACCUUUGCGCACCUUCAGGCUUGAAGGAGUAUCUAUAUUUGGAGGCACGUCAAUUAAUUUGCAUAUCAGAUUCAUCAUUGUGACUUGUUGCAGGCCGGAUCUGAGAAGUAACCAGGAAACCUGACCCUUAGUGGAGAAUGGAAGAACCCUUGAAGUCAGAGCACAACUGAGCAGUAGUGUAAUCUGCAUUGAAUCACCUUUUUCAGAUCUGACAGCUACAAGCUGAGUCCUGGCAAAAGCCACAGCCUUAAAUUACAUUUAGUGGGAAAGAAGGAUAAGAGAACUCAAUGUUUUGCCCCGUUGCAGAAACUGCUGUCUCCAAGCCUGACACCUGAGUUCUGUGCUGAGCAACCAGAGUACCAAACAAGGAGUUUUUUAUGGGUACAGCCAGCAUCAACAAACAUUUCAAUAUGUAGCCAAAAGGAGAAAGGAAGCACUUAGUAAUUUCAGAAAAAAGGAUACAUUUAUUGUAACAGAGGAAUGUUACUGUCUGUGGGGAAGAAGACCUCUGUCGUCCCUUGUAUAUAUUCAAAGCCAUACAGGAACAGGGCAUAAGUGAAGUUAAGUCACUUAAAAGGAUACUGUCUCCUGUCCUCCACCCAACUUUGAGGAAGUUCCGCUCUUAGAGAUUGCAUCUUGAUGCACUUCUGUUAUUUGCACUGUCACUUCCAUUCAGGGUAAUGAUGUGUGCCACCAUUUGCACAGAUGGCCCCAGGAGAUUUUUUGACCACAACAAGCUAUACUUUGCCAGGGCUCCAAAUGGAAUUAAAAAGUUAGAACUGAAGAAAGACAUUUAUGCUCUCUUUCACUAUGGGGAUCUCUUCACAGAAAGGAUUAUGGUCCUUUCUUAGGAUGAAAUAAAUAAAUGCAUAUACAUACAUAUAUACAUAUGUAUAUAUAUGAAAAAGCAGCAACAUGAUAAGGUGUAUUUAAAAAGGGGAUAUAAUCUUUUUUAAUAGCAUCCAUUUUUUUAAUCAUAUUAGCAGCUGAGAAAUUUAAUCUAUUGAAUUAUACAUCAAAAAAUGUUCCUGUUGAACAUUGACAUUUAGUCCCAGUUACUGCUAAAGUCAUUUGUAAUAUGUACUUGACAUAAAAUUUUUCUAGCCAUUUGUCUAUACUUCAUGGAGAAAUCUAACAGACAAGCAACAUUUUCAGUUUAUUUUUCUAAAUAAAUGUGUUGUUUUUA